AGUGAACGCUGGCGGUAGGCCUAACACAUGCAAGUCGAACGGCAGCACAGUAAGAGCUUGCUCUUACGGGUGGCGAGUGGCGGACGGGUGAGGGAUACAUCGGAAUCUACUUUUUCGUGGGGGAUAACGUGGGGAAACUUACGCUAAUACCGCAUACGACCUACGGGUGAAAGCAGGGGAUCUUCGGACCUUGCGCGAUUGAAUGAGCCGAUGUCGGAUUAGCUAGUUGGCGGGGUAAAGGCCCACCAAGGCGACGAUCCGUAGCUGGUCUGAGAGGAUGAUCAGCCACACUGGAACUGAGACACGGUCCAGACUCCUACGGGAGGCAGCAGUGGGGAAUAUUGGACAAUGGGCGCAAGCCUGAUCCAGCCAUACCGCGUGGGUGAAGAAGGCCUUCGGGUUGUAAAGCCCUUUUGUUGGGAAAGAAAAGCAGCAGGUUAAUACCCCGCUGUUCUGACGGUACCCAAAGAAUAAGCACCGGCUAACUUCGUG
rnacentral:rRNA from 1 species